rnacentral:lncRNA from 1 species
UUUUAUUUCAUUUCAAACAUUUAUAUCUCUCUCAUUAUUGGUCCAAAAAAUGUGAGACCAAUUGCAUUAUUUCUCUUUUAAUUUCUAGUUUCUAAAAAUUAUUUUUAAUAUUUUUUAUUUUAUCAUUUGAUAUUUUUCAUGAAUUUUCUCUUUUCUGGUUAUUUUUAAUUCAUUUUAAAUAGUUUUUGAGAUCCAAAAAAUACAAAAAUAUUUUUCCAACCUCUUUGAAUGAUGAUAGAUCUAUGAAAAAU